GCGCCUGUAGCUCAGUUGGAUAGAGCAACGGAUUUCUAAUCCGUAGGCCGGGGGUUCGAAUCCCUCCAGGCGCG
rnacentral:tRNA from 1 species